rnacentral:rRNA from 1 species
CAACCUGCCGAUAACUCGGGGAUAGCCUUUCGAAAGAAAGAUUAAUAUCCGAUAGUAUAUUAAAACCGCAUGGUUUUACUAUUAAAGAAUUUCGGUUAUCGAUGGGGAUGCGUUCCAUUAGUUUGUUGGCGGGGUAACGGCCCACCAAGACUACGAUGGAUAGGGGUUCUGAGAGGAAGGUCCCCCACAUUGGAACUGAGACACGGUCCAAACUCCUACGGGAGGCAGCAGUGAGGAAUAUUGGUCAAUGGACGAGAGUCUGAACCAGCCAAGUAGCGUGAAGGAUGACUGCCCUAUGGGUUGUAAACUUCUUUUAUAUGGGAAUAGAGUAUUCCACGUGUGGAAUUUUGUAUGUACCAUAUGAAUAUGGAUCGGCUAACUCCGUGCCAGCAGCCGCGGUAAUACGGAGGAUCCGAGCGUUAUCCGGAUUUAUUGGGUUUAAAGGGAGCGUAGGUGGAUUGUUAAGUCAGUUGUGAAAGUUUGCGGCUCAACCGUAAAAUUGCAGUUGGAACUGGCAGUCUUGAGUACAGUAGAGGUGGGCGGAAUUCGUGGUGUAGCGGUGAAAUGCUUAGAUAUCACGAAGAACUCCGAUUG